rnacentral:rRNA from 1 species
UACAGAGGUCCCGAGCGUUGUUCGGAUUUACUGGGCGUAAAGGGCGCGUAGGCGGUCGUGACAAGUCACUUGUGAAAUCUCCGGGCUUAACUCGGAACGGUCAAGUGAUACUGUCGGACUAGAGUACAGAAGGGGCAACUGGAAUUCUCGGUGUAGCGGUGAAAUGCGUAGAUAUCGAGAGGGAACACCUGCGGCGAAGGCGGGUUGCUGGGCUGAUGAACUGACGGCUGAGGCGCGAAAGCCCAGGGGAGCGAACGGG